AUGACGCUUUUCGGAGUGUAAACCACUGUUCGUGGGGACGAAGCACUGACGGUACCCACGGAGGAAGGCCCGGCUAACUACGUGCCAGCAGCCGCGGUAAUACGUAGGGGCCAAGCGUUGUCCGGAGUUACUGGGCGUAAAGGGCAUGCAGGCGGCUCAUUACGCAUGGCGUGAAAGCCCCCGGCUUAACCGGGGAGGGUCGUCGUGAACGGGUGAGCUUGAGGAUAUCAGGGGCUGGUGGAAUUCCCGGUGUAGUGGUGAAAUGCGUAGAGAUCGGGAGGAACACCCGUGGCGAAGGCGGCCAGCUGGGCGAGCCCUGACACUGAGACGCGAAGGCGUGGAGAGCGAACGGGAUUAGAUACCCCGGUAGUCCACGCAGUAAACGAUGCCGACUAGGCGUGGGGGGACUUGACCCCUUCCGUGCCGAA
rnacentral:rRNA from 1 species